rnacentral:rRNA from 1 species
GGGGGGGCGAAGCGUUGUUCGGAAUUACUGGGCGUAAAGGGCGCGCAGGCGGGCGGGAAAGUCUCUCGUGAAAGCCCACGGCUCAACCGUGGAAUUGCGGGAGAUACUACUCGUCUUGAGUCCGGGAGAGGAGUGUGGAAUUCCCAGUGUAGCGGUGAAAUGCGUAGAUAUUGGGAGGAACACCGGUGGCGAAGGCGGCACUCUGGACCGGUACUGACGCUGAGGCGCGAAAGCUAGGGGAGCAAACGGGAUUAGAUACCCCGGUAGUCCUGGCUGUAAACGCUGAGCACUUGGUGUAGCGGGUAUCGACCCCCCUGCUGUGCCGAAGCUAACGCAUUAAGUGCUCCGCCUGGGGGAGUACGGUCGCAAGGCUG